ensembl:snRNA U1 U1 spliceosomal RNA
AUACUUACCUGGCAGGGGAGAUCUCAUGAUCAUGAGGGUGAUUUUCCUAAGGUGAGGCUCAUCCAUUGCACUCCAGGGAUGCUAACCCAUGAUUUCUCCAAAUGCAGGAAAGUCGGCUGCAUAAUUUGUGGUAGUAGAGAGUAUUUAUGCUCUAC